AUACUUUACCUGGCACAGGCUUCUUUAGUGAUCCGCAAGGCUGUGGGCCCGGGGCGAGACCUUCCAUUGCACAUCGGCUUCAUUGGAUUCCUUCGCGAUCGUCCCAAAUGUGGACGACUCCGGGUGCGCAAUUUAUAAGUGUGGGGACUGCGUUCGCGCCUCCCCUUU